rnacentral:rRNA from 1 species
AGUGAACGCUGGCGGUAGGCCUAACACAUGCAAGUCGAACGGCAGCACAGUAAGAGCUUGCUCUUACGGGUGGCGAGUGGCGGACGGGUGAGGAAUACAUCGGAAUCUACUUUUUCGUGGGGGAUAACGUAGGGAAACUUACGCUAAUACCGCAUACGACCUACGGGUGAAAGCAGGGGAUCUUCGGACCUUGCGCGAUUGAAUGAGCCGAUGUCGGAUUAGCUAGUUGGCGGGGUAAAGGCCCACCAAGGCGACGAUCCGUAGCUGGCCUGAGAGGAUGAUCAGCCACACUGGAACUGAGACACGGUCCAGACUCCUGCGGGAGGCAGCAGUGGGGAAUAUUGGGCAAUGGGCGCGAGCCUGAUCCAGCCAUACCGCGUGGGUGAAGAAGGCCUUCGGGUUGUAAAGCCCUUUUGUUGGGAGAGAAAAGCAGCAGGUUAAUACCCCGCUGUUCUGACGGUACCCAAAGAAUAAGCACCGGCUAACUUCGUG